CAAAUUUUUUCUUUCUUUUUUAGAGAGAGUGUGCAAGUUGUGGGUAAAUAUGUUCUAUUUCCUAUUUCUUUUGGGGCUAACUCUUGUUGUAUACCUAUAACCACCAUAUCUUCACAUGAUUUCUUAGUAUCUUUUGUUUUUCCUUUAAUAUUGAGAAAUAUUUCAAUCAAACUAUCACAUACAUUUUUCUCCACAUGCAUCACAUCAAGAUAAUGUAUUAAAUCAAGACUAGACCAAUACGGAAGAUCAAAGAACACCGACCCCUUUUUGCAACUAUUUUUCUCCAUGGACCCUUUUUCUUUACCUUUUU
rnacentral:lncRNA from 1 species